rnacentral:rRNA from 1 species
UACGGAGGGUGCAAGCGUUAUCCGGAUUCACUGGGUUUAAAGGGUGCGUAGGUGGGCAGGUAAGUCAGUGGUGAAAUCUCCGAGCUUAACUCGGAAACUGCCAUUGAUACUAUGAGUCUUGAAUAUUGUGGAGGUCAGCGGAAUAUGUCAUGUAGCGGUGAAAUGCUUAGAUAUGACAUAGAACACCAAUUGCGAAGGCAGCUGGCUACGCAUAUAUUGACACUGAGGCACGAAAGCGUGGGGAUCAAACAGG